rnacentral:lncRNA from 1 species
UGACGGAUGCCAGGACCAAAGCGCUGCCCCGUUACGAGCCGGAGAGGUACCUUGUGACCUGUGUCCCGUCCCACGCCCCGCGCUCAAGUCCUGCGUGAAGUGCCUCUCCUCCUACUGUGACUUCCAUUUGCAGCCGCAUUACCAGGACGCGGAGCUGGGGCGCCACCUGCUGGUCGACGUGGUGAAGAACCUGGAGGGCCCGUGUGUAAAGUGCACGGGAGGCAGCUGGAGAGGUUUUGCAGGACUGACCAGACGUGCAUCUGUGCCAUAUGCGCCCAGACUGACCACAGGGGGCACCGCGCCGUCACUGUGAAGAAAGAGGCCAUGCGGAAGAAGGUUCAGCUAAGGCGCAAACAUUCCAGGCUUGCACAGACGAUACAGGGGAGACUGGCCGAGGUGGACGAGCUAAAGUCGACCGCUGAGAUUGAAAACAACAAAGACCUCAUGAUGGAGCUGGAGGAGGACACUGCCGAGCUGCAGAGGAGACGCGACCAGCUGGACCAACUCCUGCAGAUGGACGACAAUCUGCACUUUCUACAGAGAUUUUUGCUCGCCGCUCCAUUGUGACUGCUGGACGGACACAAUCAAGCUUACAAGCUCAAACCACUUUUUCCUCCCACAAUGAUGGACAUUGAACAGCCUCAAGCUUCAGACAAUUUCCUCCAGUGACAGCAACACAGCCUUCACAACACUCUCAGGGACUCUGUUCGUGAUCGUAUUUGCUGAUUUGAAAAUGCACAUGUGAAUGGUUAUGGGUGACUGUGUGUAAGGUUGAAACAAAAUAAAUGUGAAAACGUCCUAUUUUUUUAAUGGAUUUUGGUGUGAAUUAAAUGGUACAGGUUUUUAACCAAAUAGAAGUGUGUAGGCUAACCACUAAACAAGGCAAACAACAUCAACAAAACCAAACAAAUAAUAAAACAACUAAUAUUUUUUACGGUGGAAAUGGGAAUGCCAAUAAUAAUGGGUCAUGGUGAUUACAUAAUACUUAAUAACUAACUCAAUAUUCAAUUAAUAGAAUAGUGACGGGUGUUUAUAAGUAAUGAUUGGUAGGCACUUAUAAGCUUUCUUGCUUCGGCCUACUCCUUUUGAGUUUUUGCUACUUUUUUGUUACUUUAUUUAUUUCUGCACUGCUACAAUAAAUAAUGUAAAUAAUCACUCAAAUAAAUUUCACUAAACUAAACUAGGCUGGUUAUUUGAGCAGUUAUAAACCAGUUGUACUUUAACUCCUGGCAAUGUUCUCAGGGACUCGUUGAUGUUUACAACUGAUAUAAAUGAAAAUACUCUGUUCGUGAUCGUAUUUGCUGAUUUGAAAAUGCACAUGUGAAUGGUUAUGGGUGACUGUGUGUAUGGUUGAAACAAAAUAAAUGUGAAAACGUCCUAUUUUUUUUUAAUGGAUUUUGGUGUGAAUUAAAUGGUACAGGUUUUUAACCAA